CAAGAGGUCAACGAUUAUAGUUCCUUAGAAACACUUGGUGAUUCUUUUCUAAAAUACUCUGCUAGUCAACAACUUUUCAAGACCAAUCAAAAUUAUCGUGAGGAUACUCUUACCGAAGAAAGGAAGAAGAUGAUUUCAAAUGUUGCCUUGUUUGAGUAUGGGUGUAGCCGCAGACUUCCGGGUUUCAUACGAAAAGGAGCUUUUGAUCCCAAACAGUGGGUUAUACCUGGUGAUAAGUCAAAAGAGUCUGUCGCUAAAAUAAGAGUUGGUUUCUAGUAAAACAAGAGUAUAUGUUAGUGGAACAAGAGAAAUGAAAUACAAGGUUCUCGCUGAUGAUGUUGAGGCAGUAAUCGGUGCCUUCCUUAGCAUUGGAGAUGAAGAAGCUGCUAUAUCCUUUAUGAAUUGGAUUGGCAUCAAGGUUGACACUAUUAUUAUACCAUAUGAGAGCCACCUUAGCUUUGCCCCGGAGAAGCUUGUAAAAGUCAACCUUUUAGAAUCCCUAUUAAACUACUCAUUCAAAGACCCUACCCUCUUAGUAGAAGCUCUGACCGAUGGUUCUUAUAAGCUGCCAGAAAUUCCAACAUGUUAUAAUUACCAGUUUUGGACUACAUCAUCAAACUGCAUUUUUACAGAGAAUAUCCUGACAA